ensembl:lncRNA
AUGUCAUCAGUAUUGAAAUCAGCUGUCAUGUACAGUAGAGCUGAGUCCUCCAUCUUAUCCAGUGUAAGAUCUCAGUCUCCCUCUAGAGUCAGUCAACAGCAGAACAGCAGUCAGACAUCAGAACAGAACCAGAAUGAAGCGGGAUAUAACACACUGCUGUCUGGAACUGCUCAUAUUUAUGACUCGGUUGAUGCAACAAUUAAUAAAGACUUUAGCACAGAUAGUGUAAGCGGACCUACUGACGUCACCUAUGCUGAGAUUGAACUCAAGUCUACAGAGAAACAGAAGAUAAAUAAAGAAAACAAAGGGAAAACCAGUGAAGGUUCUGACACUGUUUACUCUAAACUGAACCUGGUGACCCAUCAAGGUGCUGGAUCUAGUGAUGUGACGUAUGCUCAGGUUAAAUAAAUGCCCAGAGGAGAAACUUUCAAUCCCAGGA